rnacentral:tmRNA from 1 species
GGGGGUGAACGGUUUCGACUUCGGAUGUCGAAGCAGGGGAAGCGGGCCGAGGAUGGUAGCGCUGAGCUCGCAAACCACGCGCUGCACUAAAGAUAAGCGCCAAUUCACAGCGCAACUCCUUCGCUCUCGCUGCCUAAAGCGAGCUAGCGAAGGUGUCAGCCCGGGAGUGCCUUCGGCCCGGAUCCUGGCAUCAGCGAGAAGGCUCACCGUGCUAGCCCGGCCGCGGGACAUGCACGGGACAGCGCACAGCGGCUGGGUUCGUCGGCAGCUUGCCAGUAGGACUGCCGGGACCGAGUAACACGACAUACCGGCUGCGCCCGGAGAAGCCCUGCCUUGUCACCGAAGGACGCGGGUUCGAUUCCCGCCACCUCCACCG